AUUGAACGCUGGCGGCAGGCUUAACACAUGCAAGUCGAACGAGUGGCGGACGGGUGAGUAAUGCGUGGGAAUCUAGGUUAUGGAGGGGUAUAACUACGGGAAACUGUAGCUAAUCCCGUGUACCCUAGGAUGAGCCCAAGUGGGAUUAGGUAGGUGGUGGGGUAACGGCUCACCAAGCCGACGAUCUCUAGCUGGUCUGAGAGGAUGACCAGCCACACUGGAACUGAGACACGGCCCAGACUCCUACGGGAGGCAGCAGUGGGGAAUAUUGCGCAAUGGGCGCAAGCCUGAUGCAGCCAUGCCGCGUGUAUGAAGAAGGCCUUCGGGUUGUAAAGUACUUUCAGCGGGGAGGCGUUACCCGCAGAAGAAGCACCGGCUAACUCCGUGCCAGCAGCCGCGGUAAUUC
rnacentral:rRNA from 1 species